UACGAGGGGGGCAAGCGUUGUUCGGAAUUAUUGGGCGUAAAGGGCGCGUAGGCGGCGCCACAAGUCACUUGUGAAAACUCUGGGCUCAACUCAGAGCCUGCAAGCGAAACUGUGGUGCUGGAGUAUGGGAGAGGUGCGUGGAAUUCCCGGUGUAGCGGUGAAAUGCGCAGAUAUCGGGAGGAACACCCGUAGCGAAGGCGGCACUCUGGGCCGGAACUGACGCUGAGGAGCGAAAGCGUGGGGAGCAAACAGG
rnacentral:rRNA from 1 species